rnacentral:rRNA from 1 species
UACGAGGGGGGCAAAUGUUGUUCGGAAUCACUGGGCGUAAAGGGCGCGUAGGCGGCUUGAUAAGGUUGCGGUGAAAGCCCGGGGCUCAACCCCGGGUCGGCCGUGGCAACUGUCGAGCUGGAGCACUGUAGAGGCAGGUGGAAUUCCGGGUGUAGCGGUGGAAUGCGUAGAGAUCCGGAAGAACACCGGUGGCGAAGGCGGCCUGCUGGGCGGUGGCUGACGCUGAGGCGCGACAGCGUGGGGAGCAAACAGG